GACGAACGCUGGCGGCGUGCUUAACACAUGCAAGUCGAACGAAGUGGCGAACGGGUGAGUAACGCGUAAUCAACCUGCCCUUCAGAGGGGGACAACAGUUGGAAACGACUGCUAAUACCUCAUAGUGAAGGAGGGGAUUGCGUCGGAUUAGCUAGGUGGAGGGGUAACGGCCCACCAAGGCGUUGAUCAGUAGCAGGUCUGAGAGGAUGAACUGCCACAUUGGGACUGAGAAAAGGCCCAGACUCCUACGGGAGGCAGCAGUGGGGAAUCUUCCGCAAUGGACGGAAGUCUGACGGAGCAACGCCGCGUGAGUGAUGACGGCCUUCGGGUUGUAAAGCUCUGUUAAUCGGGACGCGGUACCGGAAUAGAAAGCCUCGGCUAACUACGUGCCAGCAGCCGCGGUAAUUC
rnacentral:rRNA from 1 species